rfam:Erinaceus europaeus unplaced genomic scaffold scaffold00001, whole genome shotgun sequence
UAAAGAAAUAAAUAUUAAAAAAAUAAAAUUGGAACGAUACAGAGAAGGUUAGCAUGGCCCCUGCGCAAGGAUGACAGGCAAAUUCGUGAAGCACUCCAUGUUUUU